AACGAACGCUGGCGGCGUGCCUAACACAUGCAAGUCGAGCGCGAAUGGAGCAAUCCUAGUAGCGCGGCGCACGGGUGCGUAACACGUGGGUAAUCUGCCUGGGAGACCGGAAUAACCUGCCGAAAGGCUGGCUAAUACCGGAUAAGCCCACGGACUCUUCGGAGUCUGAGGGAAAAGGUGGCCUCUGUAUACAAGCUAUCACUUCCAGAUGAGCCCGCGGCCCAUCAGCUCGUUGGCGGGGUAAAGGCCCACCAAGGCAACGACGGGUAGCUGGUCUGAGAGGACGAUCAGCCACACUGGAACUGAGACACGGUCCAGACUCCUACGGGAGGCAGCAGUGGGGAAUUUUGCACAAUGGGCGAAAGCCUGAUGCAGCAACGCCGCGUGUGUGAUGAAGGUCUUCGGAUCGUAAAGCACUUUCGACCGGGACGAAACCCGUU
rnacentral:rRNA from 1 species